CCUCCAGUUGGCGCAGCUCCCCUCCGGGACGCGAGCUGUGGCACUGAAGAAGAUCCCCAGCCUGCCUCGCUGCUCCCAGAGGCUGGUCUGUCCCGCGCUGUUUCCCUCGGGUUGCCAGGAAACACGGAUAGCGACAGUAAACCAUUCGAGCCUGCUCCAGACUGAGACCUGGAAAACACAAAGUUUACACUUUGUGUCCUUCAGCAGCCAUUCCCAGCACCGGAGGGACCGAUAACAGAGCGACCACUCCCAGGAGAGACUUUCUGAAUUUGUCAUCUUUUUCAGAGCAGUGAAAGAGUGUUGUCAUCUGGACCAAGAAGGACAUUCAGGGAUGUCAAAGAUCAACAUCUCCAUUUAAUGGACCUUCUCCUGAAACUCAUCUGUUUGGAGUUUGAAACAAUGAUCAUUCUUUGCAUUGUUGUUUGGUUUUCUAAUAUUGUAAACCUUGUUUUAAUUUUAUGAUAGAGAUAGAUAUUCUACAGGUAAAGAAUCUCCCUGAUCAUUCUAAGUCAGCAUCUGAUUGAGGUUCUGAUUGACAACCAGCAAAUUGCAAAGGGAACCUCUUGAACUGUGUUUGUUCUCCUUCCUGCAAAAGGCCCUGCAGGGGACUACAAACACUGCCUUUUUUCUUUAAACACAAAAGGGUGAAUUGUGGCUGCAGCUUUCUCCACAGAGAGCAGCACGCACAACUUUCCCAGGCAUUGUGCUGGGAAAGGCUGUGAGAAAGCUCAGAGAAAAGAAUGAGAAAUAAUUCUUAUCUUCACUUGCUGCACCUGUUGUUGUGAACGUGUGGAAUUUGUUAUGGAGAUUUGUUUACCAAAGGGUAACUUCUUAAUUGGCCACUGGUGAUGGUGUUUGGAUUUCAAUUGACCAAUCUGGUCAAAGCUGUAUCAGACUGUCUGCAAGGGCGAUGGGUUUUUCUUAAUAGUAUAGUAUAGUAUAGUAUAGUAUAGUAUAGUAUAGUAUAGUACAGUAUAGUAUAGUACAGUACAAUCAAGCGAUUGAUCAGCCUUCAGCAAUCAUAGAGUCAAUGCUAAUUACUACCCAUUUAGGGGCUCGCUGCUAUGAUACCUUUUAUUCUCUAAAAUGUAUUAUAUGCCUCAAGUUUCUCAAUAGAUCGAUGCAUAUUCAUUUCCUACCUCCACCGAGCCCCGCUUUGCAUUAUAAUUAGCUUAUCAGUCAUUCUGUGCUUGUGCAGUGCUCUCUGGUGGUUGUUUGGUGGUCACAAGAGGAAGGGCAAACAAGUCUUCAUCAAUGUGAACACUUCACCUUUCCUUGCCUGCGCAUGCCCUCUAGUCUCUUGGUCACAGUUCAAACCACAAAGCUGGUUGAAGCCAGUUCAGGGUCUGAGGAGCUUCUCUUCAACAGCUGUGCAGGCCUUGCAUUCCUUCCAUCUUGUUUCAUGUAAGAAGCUCUCCUUAUCAGGAUAUCCUUGCAUUCCUUUUGUGAGAAACAACUGCUCACUUUUAAAAAUUUUAUUAAACCUUAACAAAAACUAAAACAAAGGACUAAAUAAGGAAAAAUUACAGCACUGGGAGCCCCCCCCCGUGACUACCAGCCAUGUGUCUCCUCUACAAAAUGGAUGAUCUGCCUUUUAUAUACUUAGCCCCUCCAAAAGUUUUGUCAGUCAACUCUUUAUCUGCUGUCCAUUGGUGGAGAUUACUUUUUAAAUCUUGACUGGAGGUCAGGUGUUGCUAUGCUGAGCCUCCUGGUAACAAGCCAGCCUCCUCUAAAUGUCUUUACUACUAAGGCUAUUACAAGGGGGGGAGGGAAAGAGGACUAUGGAAUGACAUAUUACAAUAACAUUACUAUACAUCUAUAUAAUAGCCAUCUCCCAAUUGUGAGAGCCAACUAUUACAUUACUUAUCUAUAGAAAACCCCCCUUUUACUUUUCUAUAAGUCAUUUGGCUAGAACAAUUAACUCUUAUUUUUGAUUCAGAUAAUUUACCCUUACUUCUCAAAAAAAGAAAUACUAGCAUCUGUGAGCGAGGACAGAGGGAACAGGAAAAAUUGGAUAAUAUGAGAUUACAGAAGCCAAUUCGGUCUUGCCCUUUAGUCUCUGUUGGCUUAAGAGACAACUGAGGAAUGAUAGAGGUCUGCUAUGUCUUUCUUGUUCCCACCUUACCAUGUCUAUGUGGUUGCUACCCACAGCAGGGCUAUAAUCUUCUUGGUGGUGAAAAUAGGGGCCAACCCAGUCUUGCCCUCUAUAUUUUUUAUGUUUUACCUUACUUGUUGGUUCUUAAGGAAACUGUCUCAAUGCUUCUUACGGUUCCUUCUGUACCUUCCCUCAACAGAUGCUUAUAAUUCUUAUCUAUUAAAAUAGGAUAAUUACAUCAAUAAACUACACAGUUCAAACUCCUUGCACAAAGUGUUAGUUAAAACAAUCUUUAAGCUGGCUGAUGAAAGCUCGAUUUUACUUUUGGACAUCUUCAAGCUUCUUUGGUUAUCUCUAGUCCAUUCUUUGCGUUCUUUCACUGGGUUUUGAAUUCUAUUGACAUGAGUCUACUUCUGCUCUGUAGUUCACACACGAUUCAUGGGUUAGCAGUUCCUGAAAGGGACUUCCCCACUGAGGGGUUAAACUAAAGACAAUGCACAUAGCACUGCUUCAUAUGUUUCAUUAUUUGAACUUACUACUGCUGACACAAGGGAACUGUGCUGUCUAGAAAGUAUUACAAUCACAGAGAGGUUUAGUAUUUGGCCUAGUAUAUUGUUUUGAUGGAAGCAGUUCCUAGGGAACGUGGGUUAGAACAGUAGUGACUUACAGAUACCUCUGUUUACAGGAAUUAAUGGAAACUUAAACAUUAUUAAAUUUGAUUGAAAUCACUGUAUAGUACCUUAUAUAAACUUUUUUGGCAAACUUAUACAUGCAGGCAUAUUUUUUUACAAGAACAGUGUACACAGAUAGCCAGGGGCUACCUCAGUUAGCAGAGCUAGAUAGUGACAUAGACACAAACACAUAUUUACAUACCCAUCUGCUUUUCCAGGUGGGACAGCAGUCGGGUGUACAGAGCUGUGUAUCUAGAGCAAUGUCUCUGGACGUGCCUAGCUCGUGUAUGUACACCAGAUCAUGUGCAGAGCUAGUAUACAUACACACAGGUACUUGCUCACUUGCACAGAAUUCUUAUGCACUAUGGUACCCAGUAGCAGCACACGCUUGUGUACACUUUAUUGGUUACACCAGCAUACAUGUGUUACACGGACACUCACUUAUGUACAGUCUCUACUGAUGCACGUCUGCAACUAUAAGACUUGUUUGCACAUAGUGUUUUGAGCACACCAAUGUGUGCAGUGAGAUACAUAUUAGUAUAUGCAUGUUUGACACAGAGCUAUGCUCACACUAGCAGAACCAGUGCCUACUCACAAGCACAGAGCUGUGCACAGACCCACUCAUACCUGAGAGUAUGUGAUUUAACACACAUGUAAACAGCAGUGCACACAUUGUGGGUAUACUUCAGUGCAUCUAUGUCAAUAGUGCUGUGCACACUAGUAUACAUGCACACUGUGAAAAGCAGGACAUCCACACCUACAUCUGGGCACCCUAGAAAAACACAUGUACACAGAGUUGUACCCACUGAUACACACAUGUUCAGCACAAUGUCAGAGCUCUCUUGGCUCUGACACCCCUGUGUGUCUCCCGUGUCAUGGCAAGGAUGGGGACAGAAGAGGGGAGCGUGGGUGUGACAUUGUGGUUUAGUUCAAAGAGCACUUUUUGUGCCCUUGGCGUGGGAGUAGACAGGCCCGUCAUCUUGGACUGAAGGAGAGAAAGGCAUCUGGGUCCAAACCUCAUGACACUUAACACUCUUCUCAGCAACCACAAGAUGAAAAGCUUGAAGACAAAGAAAAGCCCAGAGGUUUAGCAGCCCAGGGGAGGGCAAGAGAAGAGGGGAGAGUGUUGCAGUGUGGCAGGGUGGUAGAAAUGCUGCAACCUUCUUCAAAGUGUCUCCUUCAGAAGCCACUCAGAGUAAGGCCACCAGAACAGUCAUUUCAAGUCCAUGCUCACACACACACACCACAGAUAGCUCAGCAGAGGAAAGAAGGAUCUUUGUAUGAUGUAUUCCAGUGAAGGUUUAUUCCAAAGCAUGCCGAAGGGAUCAGGGACAAAGAUGAAACCAUGUGGUCUGCACAGACUUAAGUAUGGGAUCAGAGACCAAUGACCUGAGGGCACAGGGUGGUGCAAAGGGCAAGGCAAAGGACAGCAACCUGUAGGGGGGAUGAGGGAUGAAUAAUUGGGGUGAGCAGCAUCAACUGGCCAAUGGGGGAAACAAUCUAAUGUAGAUUGACUGUAGUGCUGCAGAGCACCAUGGGCUAGGUUGUCUCUUUAGCCUAGGUGGGGAAAACUCUAUGGUAUAUUCUUCCAAGGCAAGGCCCUGGGGGUUUCCCUGAGGGGGAAGGAUUCAGAGGUUUCCACAGGAGAGGAUCUUCCCUUUCUCCCUGGGGACUCCCCAUAGCAAACUACAGGUCGCCUCAGUAAGGCCCAGCCUCUUAAUUAGCUAGAAGGAGAAAGAAUGAAAACAAGUGAAGAAACAAAGAGCUUACUCAGUUCUGCUCCUCUACCCUCCCUACAGCAGGAUGAGGGCAUUGCUCAGAGACACUCAGACGUGUCUAUGCUCUCUGGUUAUGCUGAAAAGUGAGGAAGACAAGGUGGAGCAGCAGGGCAGAGCUUGGGAGUUCUAGCCAGCUCCCUGAUUGUCCAGGAGAGACUAGCUGUUACUUGUUAAUUUCAGGUACUAAAGAGGAAGUAACAGCUAAAUAUUGUAGUAUCGAAUCAAAGGCGACCUCUGACGAAGGGGAGUUAAUGAUGCAUCUGACUCCAUCUUAUCUGAAGGCUAAUUCAUUACUUUAUUAUACUAUAUUACUUACAUCUAAACUGAAUCUUCCAAGCACUCACUCUGCACACAACUGCACAGAACUGCACUCAUCUUGUGACUCUCCCAUGACUGUUAGCCAACAGUCCAGACACACAUACACUCUUGGCCCUGACAGGCCAAGGAAACAAAACACUAUCACUUUGGGUAAACAAUCUCCAUAUUGCAUUCUACUUUGGCACAACACAGGCACUGCAAAUGAGAUAAGAAUUGUGUUUUUCCUUUCUCUGAUGUUUAGAGAAUGUGAAUCUCAGAAAUCCUUGGGAAGAAUUGUGCCUUGCUUUUCUCUGUGAAGAGAAAUGUGGCAACAUUGUAGUGUUCAAAUAUUCUGCUAGCUAAGCCUGUGUACUCCUGUGUGGCUCUUGGCUGUCAGCCCACAACAGAACCAGUGCUCUCAGUGCAGAUGGGGUCUAGUCAGAGCUCAGGAGCUUGUGUGCUGCACUGAGGCAGAUCAUUGUGGCAGCUCUCAGGGGAGGGUCCCCCUGCCUCGGCAAACAAAGAGACUUCUAGAAAAACAAUGAGUAGAUGUUGCCCAGGGAUGUUGUGGCUGCCUCAUCCUUGGAAUUGUUAAAGGUCAGGUUGGACAGGGCCUGGAGCACCCUGGGAUAGAGGAAGGCAUCCCUGCCCAUGGCAGAGUGGCCCCAUUGUGAGAAAUGAUACUCACUUUCAAAAAAUUUAAAAGGUUUAUUAAAACCUUAUCAAAAAUACAACAGAAGACUGAAUAGAGAAAAUAUUACGGUGCCGGGAGCAAAGCAUGUUUCCCACCAUGUGCUCAUCCACACAAUGGAUGUUCCACCUUUUAAGCCUUUGGCCCUUCCCAAAGUUCUGUCCAUGGACUCCUUUGCUGUCCAGUGGUGGAGAUCACUUCCUGACAUAUUGAUUGAAGGUCAGAUGUUGCCAUAGUAACGAGCCAACCCUCCCAAAUGCCCCAGCUUCCCCGGCCACCCCGCGAGAACAAUGCAAAAGGGGGAAACAUAACUAUAAAUCUAUAAAAUUUUUUUAGCAUAUACAUAAUAUUUGCCCUUUAACUGUGAGAGUCAACUAUUUCAUUACUCAUCACACCAUGGCAGGGUGUAGCAGCAUGGGGUUUGGCUGGUGGUUGCUGCUAACUAUUUCCCAAUAAGCAUCACCUGUGGAAAAGCCGCUUGGGUAAGCAUUCACGCAAGGGCCUUUGUUUGCAGCCACUCACGCUGGCAGACCGUGUGGUGCCAAGAUAGAUAUUUGCAAACAUUGGUGGAUUUCUGCAAAACUAAAGCUGCCUGAACUAGGACCCUGCAAGUCCACAGAACCCCAAAGUCCACCUGAGUGCUGAUACCCAGAUCCGGAGGAAAUGACUUCUUUUUAGUAUGGAAAUGGCCUCUAUUUGCAGCCACUCACCCUGGCAGAAUGUGUGGUGCCAAGCUAGACAUUUGGCAACUUUGCUGGAUUUCUCCAAAAGUCAAGCUGCCCACAACUAGGGCCCUGCAAGUCUUUAGAGCCCCAAAUGCACCCAUUAAUCAGAUUCCUCGACCCUGGGGUGUCACCAUGAUAUUUUAUGAAAAAUCCCUUGCUAGGAUUUUUCCCCUCCUGAGGCACUGAGGGCCUCAGGAAAGAAAUGUAAACAAUAAUGUCGUGGUUUGGCCCGGAAAUGUGUUUCUGGAAAAGUCUAAGUCGGGCCAAUCAGUGGCCAAAUUCAAAAUUGGCAUGUGAUGUGGCCACUAAGGAUCUGGAUACGCCUCUGAGAACACACGGGGGUUAAAAGCAGGAG